rnacentral:rRNA from 1 species
AACGAACGCUGGCGGCAUGCCUAACACAUGCAAGUCGAACGGGAUCCAUCUUUCGGGAUGGUGAGAGUGGCGGACGGGUGAGUAACGCGUGGGAACCUGCCCAGUGGUGGGGGAUAACUGCGGGAAACUGCAGCUAAUACCGCAUGAGCCCGAGAGGGGAAAGAUUUAUCGCCAUUGGAGGGGCCCGCGUUCGAUUAGGUAGUUGGUGAGGUAACGGCUCACCAAGCCGACGAUCGAUAGCUGGUCUGAGAGGAUGAUCAGCCACACUGGGACUGAGAUACGGCCCAGACUCCUACGGGAGGCAG